rnacentral:tRNA from 1 species
CACCUACUCGUCUAUCGGUUAGGACUACAGGUUUUCAACCUGUCGAGCGGAGUUCAAUUCUCCGGUAGGUGACCA